UACGGAGGGAGCUAGCGUUGUUCGGAAUUACUGGGCGUAAAGCGCACGUAGGCGGCUUUGUAAGUUAGAGGUGAAAGCCCGGGGCUCAACUCCGGAACUGCCUUUAAGACUGCAUCGCUUGAAUCCAGGAGAGGUGAGUGGAAUUCCGAGUGUAGAGGUGAAAUUCGUAGAUAUUCGGAAGGACACCAGUGGCGAAGGCGGCUCACUGGACUGGUAUUGACGCUGAGGUGCGAAAGCGUGGGGAGCAAACAGG
rnacentral:rRNA from 1 species